GACGAACGCUGGCGGCGUGCUUAACACAUGCAAGUCGAACGAUGACGACCGAGCUUGCUCGGUCUGAUUAGUGGCGAACGGGUGAGUAACACGUGAGCAACCUGCCCUUCACUCUGGGAUAACCUCGGGAAAUCGGGGCUAAUACCGGAUAUGAGCUCCUGUCGCAUGGCGGGUGUUGGAAAGUUUUUCGGUGAAGGAUGGGCUCGCGGCCUAUCAGUUUGUUGGUGAGGUAGUGGCUCACCAAGGCGAUGACGGGUAGCCGGCCUGAGAGGGCGACCGGCCACACUGGGACUGAGACACGGCCCAGACUCCUACAGGAGGCAGCAGUGGGGAAUAUUGCACAGUGGGCGAAAGCCUGAUGCAGCGACGCCGCGUGAGGGAUGACGGCCUUCGGGUUGUAAACCUCUUUCAGCAGGGAAGAAGCGAAAGUGACGGUACCUGCAGAAGAAGCGCCGGCUAACUACGUG
rnacentral:rRNA from 1 species